rnacentral:rRNA from 1 species
UGGGGUUGCGGACAUAUCAUAACGAAGAGGUAUCGUAAUUGAAGAGGUUUGGAAAGACCCACCACAGAAGGUAAUAGUCCUGUAUGUUAAACGAGAAGACUUCAGAUAUGAUCCAGAGUACCACGGGACACGUGAAACCCUGUGGGAAGCAGGAGGGACCACCCUCCAAGGCUAAAUACUACCUAGUGACCGAUAGCGUAUAGUACCGUGAGGGAAAGGUGAAAAGAACCCCGGGAGGGGAGUGAAAUAGAACCUGAAACCCUGCACUUACAAGCUGUGGAAGCACAUUUCUUGUGUGACCGCGUACUUUUUGUAGAACGGGCCAACGAGUUACGUUAAGUAGCAAGGUUAAGCACUUAAGGUGCGGAGCCGUAGCGAAAGCGAGUUUUAACUGAGCGUUCAGUUACUUGACGUAGACCCGAAACCGGGCGACCUACCCAUGAGCAGGAUGAAGCGAAAGUAAAAUUUCGUGGAGGUCCGAACCCACGAGCGUUGAAAAGCUCGGGGAUGACUUGUGGGUAGCGGUGAAAUUCCAAUCGAGCCCGGAGAUAGCUGGUUCUCCCCGAAAUAGCUUUAGGGCUAGCCUCAAGGUGAGAGAUACGGAGGUAGAGCACUGAAUGUCCUAGGGGGUAUUGCACCUACCGAAGACUAUCAAACUCCGAAUGCCGUCAUCUUAUACUUGGGAGUCAGACUGUGGGUGAUAAGAUUCAUAGUCGAAAGGGCAACAGCCCAGAUCGUCAGCUAAGGUCCCUAAAUGUAAGUUAAGUGGUAAAGGAUGUGGGAUUGCACAGACAACCAGGAUGUUGGCUUAGAAGCAGCCACUCAUUCAAAGAGUGCGUAAUAGCUCACUGGUCGAGUGAUCCUGCGCCGAAGAUUUCCGGGGCUAAAACUUACUACCGAAGCUACGGCAUCAGUAAUGAUGGGUAGGGGAGCUUCCCAUACGGGUUGAAGCAUGACCGUAAGGACAUGUGGACAGUAUGGGAGUGAGAAUGUUGGCAUGAGUAGCGAGAUGUGGGUGAGAAUCCCACAGGCCGUAAACCCAAGGUUUCCAGGGGAAGGUUCGUCCGCCCUGGGUUAGUCGGGACCUAAGCUGAGGCCGAAAGGCGUAGGUGAUGGACAACAGGUUGAUAUUCCUGUACUACCGAUAACCGUUUGAGAGAAGGGAUGACACAGUAGGAUAAGCUAAGCACACUGUUGGUUAUGUGUGCCCAAGCAUUGAGGCAGUCAAAGCAGGCAAAUCCGCUUUGAUAAUGCUGGGAUGUGAUGGGGAGCGAAAUUUAGUAGCGAAGUAGCUGAUUUCACACUGUCAAGAAAAGUCUCUAUCGAGGUUAAAGGUACCCGUACCGCAAACCGACACAGGUGGGUGAGGAGAGUAUCCUAAGGCCAGCGAGAGAACUGUUGUUAAGGAACUCGGCAAAAUGACCCCGUAACUUAGGGAUAAGGGGUGCCACCAUCCGGUGGCCGCAGAGAAUAGGCCCAAGCGACUGUUUACCAAAAACAUAGGUUUCUGCUAAGUCGCAAGACGAUGUAUAGGAGCUGACGCCUGCCCGGUGCUGGAAGGUUAAGGGGAUCUGUUAGAGCAAUCGAAGCAGUGAACUUAAGCCCCAGUAAACGGCGGCCGUAACUAUAACGGUCCUAAGGUAGCGAAAUUCCUUGUCGGGUAAGUUCCGACCCGCACGAAAGGCGUAACGAUUUGGGCACUGUCUCAACAACAGACUCGGUGAAAUUGUAAUUCCGGUGAAGAUGCCGGAUACCUGCGACAGGACGGAAAGACCCCAUGGAGCUUUACUGUAGCUUGACAUUGGGUCUUGGUACUACAUGUACAGGAUAGGUGGGAGGCUUUGAAACCAGGACGCCAGUUUUGGCGGAGCCAUCCUUGGGAUACCACCCUUGUAGUACUGGGACUCUAACCAUAGGCCAUGAAUCUGGUCUUGGGACACUGUCAGGUGGGCAGUUUGACUGGGGCGGUCGCCUCCCAAAAGGUAACGGAGGCGCUCAAAGGUUCUCUCAGUACGGUCGGAAAUCGUACGUAGAGUGUAAAGGCAAAAGAGAGCUUGAUUGCAAGACAUACAGGUCGAGCAAGGAUGAAAAUCGGACUUAGUGAUCCGGUGGUUCUGCGUGGAAGGGCCAUCGCUCAACGGAUAAAAGCUACCCUGGGGAUAACAGGCUUAUCUCCCCCAAGAGUCCACAUCGACGGGGAGGUUUGGCACCUCGAUGUCGGCUCAUCACAUCCUGGGGCUGUAGUAGGUCCCAAGGGUUGGGCUGUUCGCCCAUUAAAGUGGUACGCGAGCUGGGUUCAGAACGUCGUGAGACAGUUCGGUCCCUAUCCGUCGCAGGCGUAGGAAAUUUGAGAAGACCUGUCCUUAGUACGAGAGGACCGGGAUGGACGUACCUCUGGUGUACCAGUUGUUCUGCCAAGGGCAUGGCUGGGUAGCUAUGUACGGAAUGGAUAAGCGCUGAAAGCAUCUAAGCGCGAAGCCAACUUCAAGAUAAGAUUUCCCACCGCAAGGGUAAGACCCCAGAAAGACUAUCUGGUUGAUAGGUCGAAGGUGUAAGUGCAGCAAUGUAUUUAGCUUAUCGAUACUAAUAGGUCGAGGACUUGACCAAU